AAUUUGUUCAGCAUAACCAUUUAAAAUCAUAAACUAACUAACACACACACACACACACACAUAUUAAUCUCAUCAACCAUAUAGAAAUUGAUGCUGACAUCCCACAGUUGGUUGGGCUUCCUUGCUCUGUUUCACUAAAGUGUAUGGACUCGUUUUAUCUUCGAAACUCUGGUAAUUGAUUCUUGAAGCUGAUGAACUUUUGGCCCAGUUGUAAGUUAAUUGGAAAGCAAAACAUGUGCAAGCCUGCAACAGGGGUUUUGACCUGCGAGAUUUUUUGUCAAAAUAUGGAAUAUUUUUUUGGUAUUAAAACUUGGAAUUUGUUAAAUCCAGGUUCGCACUCAUUACAUCAAAUAAUUGCACUGUACUGAGUGAAGACAAAUCAAAUCCGUAUGAUGGAUAAUAAAAAAAGAAACCCUAAAUUUUUAAAUGAAAUAAGUCAAAAAUCUGAUCUAACGUCACAUGACUUGUAUUUUUAUUCUUAUUUUGGCACCCCACCAAUCACAAAGCUCGCAAAACCUUA